UCGCCCCUCUUGUUUUCAGGCUAUUCAAGUGAUAGUUAUGACGAGGUGGAGUAUGGAAGCUCACUCAGUAAAUGGAUGCCACCAUGGGUUGACUACAUUGAGUUUUUUCCAAACUCAAGCCUCAACGGUACAAUGGUGUGGAGUCGAGAUGAUCCUAAGACCAGUGGGAACAGCAAGUGGGAGAUUGUGUUCAACAUGUUUUACUUCCGUCGCAUCACCCAGAGAGAAAGUGGUCGGUACUUAUUAAGGAACAGAAAUCAGACAUCUCUGUAUACGAUGACAGUCGAGGUGAUAGCGAAGACACGGAACAUCACUCGGAAGACUGACCAAAAGCUUUCUAUCACUUUUAAUCUGCCGCCAAGCUCCUGCAACAUCUAUUUCAUCCCAAGGGAUGGACCCAGGGCGGAGAUAGUUCGUCGUGGACAGCUGCAGGAUAAGUCUGCGUGCGGAGAAUUUACACUUUUGGAGCCAUGUGGGGCUUUAAACAAGGCCGUCCAGAGCUCGUGCAGUGGACGGUUUGUGGUGAGAGAUCAUAAUGAUGACCAGGCCAUGGUGGUGUUCGUGGAAGUGGAAUCUUCGGGAUAUAAAACAUACAUCUUCGCUGGUGCGGGUGCGCUUAUCUGCACGUUUCUUAGCUGCUGCUGUAGGAUCUGCUGCUGUAGAAUGUGCUCUGAAAAAAAGGACCAGUCUGAACGUGAACCUGAUGCAGAACCUGCUGAAGAGCCUGUUGUUCUGAGUCCAAGCCAACCAUCUGAGCCCACCGAGAGCUACCCCCUCCAGUCUUCUAAUAACCCGACUGAUACACAAUCCUUCUGAGAGUCUACCACCUUCCAGGUCUGAAGAGCUGAGAACUAGUCAUACAAAUGUUCCAGUCCCUGCAGAGCAGCUUGACCCUUCAACGGUCCCUCUAUGGACCAUCCAAGACCAGGAUAAGUUAGAAGAAAAGGGCAUCAACACUAACAACCUGCUCAGCUCAGACUCUCUUCACUCUAAUGUUUACACUUCAGAGAAACUAAACUUCCUCUGAAAUCCCUGGUUUUGAAAACAAAUAUACUCUUAUAUUGUUAGAGUAACAUUAAAGGUAUAGGUCAAAUAUUUUAGGCCAUUGGCUGCUUCUGCUGAUUUUUAUGGUUUCAGAACAACAUUAUAAAUAAUUAGCUUAUUAGUUCUAGGAGGUGACAUUUGCAAUCAAAAAUUGAUUUUUUUUUUCUCAGUCACCCACAGCAUGUAGUUCAACAGAACCAGCUCAGUGGUCCCGCAAUUUAAUUUGGUUAUGCACACCAUUCAUAAAAGGAUUAGGUGCUAUUAUCAAUUGUUUGAUUAUUGCUGUUGAGAUUCCAAGCCAAUGGACCGACUGAAGAGCAAGCAAAGCAUGCAUCAGGGAACCCAAUUGUGUUGCACUGUUCUUUUGUUAUUAUCUAUCUAUGUAUCGAUCUAUCUAUCUUGCCGUUACGCACUGUUUUAAGUUAUUUAAUGUGUAAAAAACAACUCUCUGUCUGUUAGGUAUUGUUUGGUGAAUAUCAGCCCACACAGCUGAUAUUAGGACAAUAGUUGAAAGGGUGAUUCAAGCACUGGUAUUCUUUAAUGGAUGGAAGUGGUAGGUUCGGGUCAUUCACAUUGCAGUAUUGUGGUUUAAGGCGGGACAUACUGCUGCGACCAAAGCAAGAGCGGCCGAGCCCACAACAGAACCAACAUAAACAUGACAGCGUGUAGCUGCUGCUAUCACAUCUGUUUACUCAGAAUCCACAAUUUCUUCUUUAAAAGAAUAACAGCAAGAAGUGCCUUGACUAGCUUACCUUGUUGUGGUUUCUCAUGACACCUGCUGUUUAUAUUUUCAUUUGAUACCGUGUUUGGCCAAAACCAACCUUUGGCAUGCUGACACUAAGUGCCGCUUCGCCCAAUCAGCUUGGAGAGUGUUGCUGAACAUCUCUCCUUUCCUGAAAUGGAUUCGAUAGGAGCAGACCCAGAUUGAUAAUGUGCACAACAGAGAGUUCUACAGGUUAUCAUUCUGACUUGCCAGGUUACUGCUUACCUGCACCUGGUAGGAGAGAGGGGAGUGGAAUAGCAGUAUUUUCUGUUGACUGCUUUUGCCUUGCUUUGAUUUCAGUAACAGAUCAUGGUAUAUCAUGUACAUGUUCCAACCUGGUGUGUGUGAUGGUGAAAGCUGCUGUUUUAUUAACUAAUCCAAAAAGUAUACCAAAGUCAAUGUUCUUCUUCAGAAAAACCGGCAGCACGUCAGACAGGUACAGGAUUGAUAGCUUCCUCUCAAGCUGCAAGGCUGAUUUUGGAGUUGCAUUAUUUUGUUGAAAAACAAGAGGCAUUUAAUGAAACCACGACAAUGCCAAGCAGUGGACUUGCCAUACAGUCAUGCCAGCAAUGUGCCACACCCAAAACACAAUUUUGACAAAUUAUGACACUGAAAUUACGAAAUAAAAUGACUUUAUCAUCACACACUGGGAAUUUGUGUGAAUGUAUUUAAUGCAAUGUUUUCAUUGAAAAAGGAAAACUGAAUUAAAAAAGUUAUGAGUGUAA